rnacentral:rRNA from 1 species
UACGGAGGGUGCGAGCGUUGUCCGGAAUCAUUGGGCGUAAAGGGCGCGUAGGUGGCCCGGUCAGUUCGUGGUGAAAGCGCGGGGCUCAACCCUGCGUCGGCCAUGAAUACUGCCGCGGCUGGAGCACUGUAGAGGCAGGCGGAAUUCCGGGUGUAGCGGUGGAAUGCGUAGAUAUCGAGAGGAACACCUGCGGCGAAGGCGGGUUGCUGGGCCGACACUGACGCUGAGACGCGAAAGCGUGGGGAGCAAACAGG